AUGAUAAAUGACUUUAUGUUCAACAGCAGAGUUCUCAUUGGCCUGUAUGUGUGCCAUCAGACCAUGCUCUCCAUUCAGUUGUUGCAAAAUUGGCACUUGUACUUGUUUGGGCCAACACAAACGGAUGCAGGCAAAGUAGCCGGCCGGAAAACAGUAACAUGAAGCUGGAAGAAGCAAGUGAAACAUUUAAACAUUUGUAUUUACACAUAAUUACAUUACUAUUUAAUCAAAAAUACACUUUUCAGCUACGAAGUCAUGUUCAAUAAGAAUAAAAUAAUUGAAUGCAACAAUGCUUACGUUAUCCGGUUGAUUCUGCUCUCCCAAUUUAACCAAUAACCUUAACACCUAAACCUAAGGUCAACCGUUACCUACCCAAACAUUAUUUUCCAAAGAACACCUAGCUAUCCUUUAGUCCAGCUGAUACGUUUCUGAGGAUAACACUGCGAUAUCAUAAUAAUAGUAAUAACAACUUUAAGCCAGGCAGAGUUCAACUAAGCUACAUAAACCGUUGAUAAUACAGAUCAAUUAUCAAUUUCGGUAACAAUAUGUUACCUUUGUAUGAGAAGUAGGCUAUUUUAGCCUAGAAAUAAAAAGAAUUAGACCUACCACAAUUAAAUAGAGUUAAUUUGUACAUUAAGUCUCCAGCUACAAGACACGCCUCCUACACGAUCAGCCCCUUUCUUGCAGUCUAUACUGAACUGUAUACAGACAGAACUUUCCUCCUGUAUCAGAACUUUCACCCAUCUGGACCGAUUGGGACGCAUGUUUAGCUCCCCCGCCCAUCCAGUUCCUGUUGACUCAGUGGUACUCACUGCCCACGAAUUCUGUGCAAAGUACGUUUGUGCAUGAGCUGCUACGAGUCGAUUUUGAUUACAGUUUUUGGCCUUUCCGCAUUUACAAGACGGAUUGUCACUCACAGCUGUUCUCUUGAGGUACUCCGGUUUCCUCCCACAGUCCAAAGACAUGCAGUUAGGCUAAUUGGAGACUCCAGAUUGUCCGUAGAUUGUCCGCAUACACCACUCAAGUGUGUGAGUGGUGUGUGCGCGCUGUGAUAGAUUGGCGGCCUGUCCAGGGUGUAUUCCUGCCUCUCACCCAAUGCAUGCUGGGAUAGGUUCCAGCACCCCCUGCGACCCUGCUCAGGAUAAGGCGGCUGGGGAGAUGGCUACCCGGAGGUCAGUGCUGCUCGCCGGCCAUUGGGAGACGCUGAUUCGGCUGUCUGUGUUGUUGCCUGUCAGGGUCACCCUCGGUCAGAAGAUGGUUUGGCAACGCGGCAUGACGGGUGCGGUUCGAGGGAGGGCCACCUCCGCUCCUGCGCCCACGCUGACGGCCACGCCCACUCGAGCGCUCAUGGACGAGCCGGUAGCGCUGGAGGCGCGUCACCUGACCCCGCGCUGCCCCGUCACGGUGCGCGCCCGCCUGCGCUGUGAGGAGGGGGACCUGUGGGAGGCACUGGCACAUUAUUACGCAGACGGGAACGGGGUCUUGAACCUGUCACGGGACGAGGCCCAGGGGGGGUCGUACACUGGCUGCGAGCCCAUGGGCCUGUUCUGGAGUCUGUUUCCAGCACCUGGGGAGAGGGAGGGGCUGAGGCUGAGGAAGAAGAAUGUGGAGACUCCAUACACGUUCCAGGUGUCCCUGCUGAACGGGCACGUGUCAUCGCACGGCGUCAGGUCACAUGAUGAGGGGGAGGAGCUGGCUGCGGUGACUGUGGAACGCUGGUACACAGCCCCCGGGGUGCGCAGGAUCGACAUUCGGGAAGAGGGGCUGGUGGGAACCCUGUUCUUACCCCCAGGUCCAGGGCCGUUCCCUGCGGUUUUGGACUGCUGGGGAAUGGGGGGCGGUUUGGUGGAGUACCGCUCCGCCCUGCUGGCCUCCCGGGGCGUAGCCAGCUUCGCUCUGGCUUACUUCGGCCACAGAGACAUUCCCGGGCCGCUCGAUGCGAUCAACGUGGGAGACGACUACAUCCAGGCAGCGUUCCAGCUGCUGCAGAAUCACCCUCAGGUGUGCGGGAGCCGGGUGGCCGUGCUGGGGCUGUCCUACGGGGCCUACCUCGCCCUGCGCAUCGCCACUCAACUGCCCGUCAGCCCUCGGUGCAUAAUUGCAAUAAACGGGCCGAUCGGGUCCACGGCCCAGGGCGUGGAAGCCGAUGGGAAAGUGGUGAGCUUCGGAGCGUCUAAGGUAGCGUACAGCCAUGACCUUCCAGGCUACGUGGAUUUUAAACGGGCUACCCUUCCCGAAUUUCUUCCUCUAAGCACCAAAAUUAAGGUCUAUACUCGGGCAAUUAUUUACAGUUUUUCUCGAUUGCUAACACACUAAAACUGGUUCUUUUAGCAAAAACUCCCAAAUUAUUACUUCAGUUCUCAGAGGACCAACACAUCUCUCAAAACUAUAAACACUUUUCACUUGUUUUAACACAUGCUGCAAAUUGUUAAACUUUUUCUGCUAAUCUCUACAAACAAAUGCUCUCAUGAAUCACUGGUUACACAUUGUGCUCAUGCAACAAACACUAGUAGUCAAAACACUUAACUCAGGUCAUCACAACAUAAACUCAGGUAACACACCUUUCUCUAGGUGCAAACACUUGGCAGCAAAAUUGUUUACACACCGGUCACAAUCUCUGGAUCAGUAAAUAGGGCCACAGUUUGCAUCUGUGUGCUUUUGAACAAUGGAUCUUCAAAACGGAUAAGCUGUCCAAAGACCAGGAAGACAAAGGAGACGAAGAGGCAGGAGACAAUUUGUCCCAGACGAAAUACGUGCCACCUUGACCAUGUGCUGGUGCAUGGUAUGAUGAUGAGGGAAGCUGGACAGAGAGUUCAGCCAAACUUGAAUCGUUUCACAGUGGCAUCCAUUGUCCAUACUUUCAGACAAGAAAACAGGUGGAGAACCUGCGCUGCCCCCUGCUGUUGGUCACUUCCGAAGACGACAUCAGCUGCUCGGUUUUGGAGAACGCAGCCCAG